GGGGAUAACCUUGCGAAAGUAAGACUAAUAUCCCAUGAAUUCUCUAGAAGACAUCUGAAGGAGAUUAAAGAUUUAUCGGUGAUGGAUGGGGAUGCGUCUGAUUAGCUUGUUGGCGGGGUAACGGCCCACCAAGGCGACGAUCAGUAGGGGUUCUGAGAGGAAGGUCCCCCACAUUGGAACUGAGACACGGUCCAAACUCCUACGGGAGGCAGCAGUGAGGAAUAUUGGUCAAUGGGCGAGAGCCUGAACCAGCCAAGUAGCGUGCAGGAUGACGGCCCUAUGGGUUGUAAACUGCUUUUAUAAGGGAAUAAAGUGAGUCUCGUGAGACUUUUUGCAUGUACCUUAUGAAUAAGGACCGGCUAAUUCCGUGCCAGCAGCCGCGGUAAUACGGAAGGUCCGGGCGUUAUCCGGAUUUAUUGGGUUUAAAGGGAGCGUAGGCCGGAGAUUAAGCGUGUUGUGAAAUGUAGACGCUCAACGUCUGCACUGCAGCGCGAACUGGUUUCCUUGAGUACGCACAAAGUGGGCGGAAUUCGUGGUGUAGCGGUGAAAUGCUUAGAUAUCACGAAGAACUCCGAUUGCGAAGGCAGCUCACUGGAGCGCAACUGACGCUGAAGCUCGAAAGUGCGGGUAUCGAACAGGAUUAGAUACCCUGGUAGUCCGCACGGUAAACGAUGGAUGCCCGCUGUUGGUCUGAAUAGGUCAGCGGCCAAGCGAAAGCAUUAAGCAUCCCACCUGGGGAGUAC
rnacentral:rRNA from 1 species